CUUCAAGAGUUAGUCCCUGUGAUUACCCGUUUUUCGGCUAUCGGAAUACUAAUGAUGA
rfam:Lactobacillus bifermentans DSM 20003 NODE_160, whole genome shotgun sequence.